rnacentral:rRNA from 1 species
AUGAGCAUGCCUAUGGUAGGCAUCCAUGCCAGGUUUGAACGCUUUGCAACACCGUAUGCAAGUUGGCGUCACGUCCGACAAUUUAUCAGCAACUUUUCACCAAAAAAACUCGAGAAAAUACAAAUAUUAUCCAAAACUCAAACAACUUGGCAUGGCGCCUUUAAUUGUUCAUAUAAUCUCAUGGGAAAUGGGGUUACUGGGCGAUUCCGAAAAAGCUUGCUCUCAUAUGGACCCUUCCCGCCUACUCGGACACCCUCCGUUGAACAUGUUCUAUUUUUGGACAUGCAUGAAAAGCAUGCCCAUGGUAGGCAUCAAUGUCAUGUUUGA